CCUACGGGGGGCUGCAGUGGGGAAUAUUGGACAAUGGGCGAAAGCCGGAUCCAGCCAUGCCGCGUGUGUGAAGAAGGCCUUCGGGUUGUAAAGCACUUUCAGUGGGGAAGAAAGCCUUGGGGCUAAUACCCUCGAGGAAGGACAUCACCCACAGAAGAAGCACCGGCUAACUCCGUGCCAGCAGCCGCGGUAAUACGGAGGGUGCGAGCGUUAAUCGGAAUUACUGGGCGUAAAGCGCGCGUAGGCGGUCUGAUAAGCCGGUUGUGAAAGCCCCGGGCUCAACCUGGGAACGGCAUCCGGAACUGUCAGGCUAGAGUGCAGGAGAGGAAGGUAGAAUUCCCGGUGUAGCGGUGAAAUGCGUAGAGAUCGGGAGGAAUACCAGUGGCGAAGGCGGCCUUCUGGACUGACACUGACGCUGAGGUGCGAAAGCGUGGGUAGCAAACAGGAUUAGAUACCCUGGUAGUC
rnacentral:rRNA from 1 species